rnacentral:rRNA from 1 species
AACGUAGGACGCAAGCGUUAUCCGGAGUUACUGGGCGUAAAGCGCGUGCAGGCGGUCGGUCAAGUCUGAUGUGAAAUCUCCUCGCUCAACGGGGAGCAGCCAUUGGAAACUGGGCGACUGGAGUCUGACAGAGGUAGGCGGAAUUCCGGGUGGAGUGGUGAAAUGCGUAGAGAUCCGGAGGAACACCAGAGGCGAAGGCGGCCUACUGGGUCAGUACUGACGCUGAGCCGCGAAAGCCAGGGGAGCGAACGGG